AACAAAUGCCCUGCUUCCAGGAAAAGCCUCUAAGCAUCAGGUAACACGAAAUCGUACCCCAAACCGACACAGGUGGUCAGGUAGAGAAUACCAAGGCGCUUGAGAGAACUCGGGUGAAGGAACUAGGCAAAAUGGUGCCGUAACUUCGGGAGAAGGCACGCUGAUGGUAGGUGAAGCGACUUGCUCGUGGAGCUGAAAUCAGUCGAAGAUACCAGCUGGCUGCAACUGUUUAUUAAAAACACAGCACUGUGCAAACACGAAAGUGGACGUAUACGGUGUGACGCCUGCCCGGUGCCGGAAGGUUAAUUGAUGGGGUUAGCGGCAACGCGAAGCUCUUGAUCGAAGCCCCGGUAAACGGCGGCCGUAACUAUAACGGUCCUAAGGUAGCGAAAUUCCUUGUCGGGUAAGUUCCGACCUGCACGAAUGGCGUAAUGAUGGCCAGGCUGUCUCCACCCGAGACUCAGUGAAAUUGAACUCGCUGUGAAGAUGCAGUGUACCCGCGGCAAGACGGAAAGACCCCGUGAACCUUUACUAUAGCUUGACACUGAACACUGGUCCUUGAUGUGUAGGAUAGGUGGGAGGCUUUGAAGUGUGGACGCCAGUUCGCAUGGAGCCAACCUUGAAAUACCACCCUUUAAUGGCUGGUGUUCUAACGUAGACCCGUAAUCCGGGUUGCGGACAGUGUCUGGUGGGUAGUUUGACUGGGGCGGUCUCCUCCCAAAGAGUAACGGAGGAGCACGAAGGUUAGCUAAUCCUGGUCGGACAUCAGGAGGUUAGUGCAAAGGCAUAAGCUAGCUUGACUGCGAGCGUGACGGCGCGAGCAGGUGCGAAAGCAGGUCUUAGUGAUCCGGUGGUUCUGAAUGGAAGGGCCAUCGCUCAACGGAUAAAAGGUACUCCGGGGAUAACAGGCUGAUACCGCCCAAGAGUUCAUAUCGACGGCGGUGUUUGGCACCUCGAUGUCGGCUCAUCACAUCCUGGGGCUGAAGUAGGUCCCAAGGGUAUGGCUGUUCGCCAUUUAAAGUGGUACGCGAGCUGGGUUUAGAACGUCGUGAGACAGUUCGGUCCCUAUCUGCCGUGGGCGCUGGAGAAUUGAGGGGGGCUGCUCCUAGUACGAGAGGACCGGAGUGGACGCAUCACUGGUGUUCGGGUUGUCAUGCCAAUGGCAUUGCCCGGUAGCUAAAUGCGGAAAAGAUAAGUGCUGAAAGCAUCUAAGCACGAAACUUGCCCCGAGAUGAGUUCUCCCUGAGACUUAGAGUCUCCUGAAGGAACGUUGAAGACGACGACGUUGAUAGGCCGGGUGUGUAAGCGCAGCGAUGCGUUGAGCUAACCGGUACUAAUGAACCGUGAGGCUUAACCUU
rnacentral:rRNA from 1 species